GAUGAACGCUGGCGGCGUGCUUAACACAUGCAAGUCGAACGAGAAAUGUAGACGGAAACCUUCGGGCGGAAGCCUUCAUUUCGAGUGGCGGACGGGUGAGUAACGCGUGGGUAACCUGCCUCAUACAGGGGGAUAACAGUUGGAAACGACUGUUAAUACCGCAUGAGACCACAGCAUCGCAUGAUGCGGGGGUAAAAACUCCGGUGGUAUGAGAUGGACCCGCGUUCGAUUAGCCAGUUGGCGGGGUAACGGCCCACCAAAGCGACGAUCGAUAGCCGAUCUGAGAGGAUGACCGGCCACAUUGGGACUGAGACACGGCCCAAACUCCUACGGGAGGCAGCAGUGGGGAAUAUUGCACAAUGGGGGAAACCCUGAUGCAGCGACGCCGCGUGAGUGAAGAAGUACUUCGGUAUGUAAAGCUCUAUCAGCAGGGAAGAAAAUGACGGUACCUGAGUAAGAAGCCCCGGCUAACUACGUG
rnacentral:rRNA from 1 species